rnacentral:rRNA from 1 species
CUCACCCGGGGGAUGGCACUUGAAACUGCGUAGCUGGAGUUCUGGAGAGGGUGGCGGAAUUCCCGGUGUAGGAGUGAAAUCCGUAGAGAUCGGGAGGAACACCAGAGGCGAAGGCGGCCACCUGGCCAGAAACUGACGCUGAGGCGCGAAAGCGUGGGUAGCAAACAGGAUUAGAUACCCUGGUAGUCCACGCUGUAAACAUUGGAUGCUAGAUGCGGGUGACGUAGAAGUCAUUCGUGUCGCAGCUAACGCGUUAAGCAUCCCGCCUGGGGAGUACGGCCGCAAGGCUGAAACUCAAAGGAAUUGACGGGGGCCUGCACAAGCGGUGGAGUAUGUGGUUUAAUUCGAUGCAACGCGAAGAACCUUACCUGGGCUUGACAUCCCGGGAGUCGUCUAGAGAUAGUCGAGUGCCCUUCGGGGAGCCC